rnacentral:rRNA from 1 species
UACGAAGGGGGCUAGCGUUGCUCGGAAUCACUGGGCGUAAAGGGUGCGUAGGCGGGUCUUUAAGUCAGGGGUGAAAUCCUGGAGCUCAACUCCAGAACUGCCUUUGAUACUGAAGAUCUUGAGUUCGGGAGAGGUGAGUGGAACUGCGAGUGUAGAGGUGAAAUUCGUAGAUAUUCGGAAGAACACCAGUGGCGAAGGCGGCUCACUGGCCCGAUACUGACGCUGAGGCGCGAAAGCUAGGGGAGCAAACAGG